GACGAACGCUGGCGGCGUGCUUAACACAUGCAAGUCGAACGGAAAGGCCCUGCUUUUGUGGGGUGCUCGAGUGGCGAACGGGUGGGUAACACGUGAGUAACCUGCCCUUGACUUUGGGAUAACUUCAGGAAACUGGGGCUAAUACCGGAUAGGAGCUCCUGCUGCAUGGUGGGGGUUGGAAAGUUUCGGCGGUUGGGGAUGGACUCGCGGCUUAUCAGCUUGUUGGUGGGGUAGUGGCUUACCAAGGCUUUGACGGGUAGCCGGCCUGAGAGGGUGACCGGCCACAUUGGGACUGAGAUACGGCCCAGACUCCUACGGGAGGCAGCAGUGGGGAAUAUUGAACAAUGGGCGGAAGCCUGAUGCAGCAACGCCGCGUGCGGGAUGACGGCCUUCGGGUUGUAAACCGCUUUCGCCUGUGACGAAGCGUGAGUGACGGUAAUGGGUAAAGAAGCACCGGCUAACUACGUG
rnacentral:rRNA from 1 species